rnacentral:rRNA from 1 species
AUUGAACGCUGGCGGCAGGCCUAACACAUGCAAGUCGAACGGUAACAGGAAGAAGCUUGCUUCUUUGCUGACGAGUGGCGGACGGGUGAGUAAUGUCUGGGAAACUGCCUGAUGGAGGGGGAUAACUACUGGAAACGGUAGCUAAUACCGCAUAACGUCGCAAGACCAAAGAGGGGGACCUUCGGGCCUCUUGCCAUCGGAUGUGCCCAGAUGGGAUUAGCUAGUAGGUGGGGUAACGGCUCACCUAGGCGACGAUCCCUAGCUGGUCUGAGAGGAUGACCAGCCACACUGGAACUGAGACACGGUCCAGACUCCUACGGGAGGCAGCAGUGGGGAAUAUUGCACAAUGGGCGCAAGCCUGAUGCAGCCAUGCCGCGUGUAUGAAGAAGGCCUUCGGGUUGUAAAGUACUUUCAGCGGGGAGGAAGGGAGUAAAGUUUAUACCUUUGCUCAUUGACGUUACCCGCAGAAGAAGCACCGGCUAACUCCGUG